UUGAACGCUGGCGGCAGGCCUAACACAUGCAAGUCGAAUGGUAACAGGAAACAGCUUGCUGUUUCGCUGACGAGUGGCGGACGGGUGAGUAAUGUCUGGGAAACUGCCUGAUGGAGGGGGAUAACUACUGGAAACGGUAGCUAAUACCGCAUAACGUCGCAAGACCAAAGAGGGGGACCUUCGGGCCUCUUGCCAUCAGAUGUUCCCAGAUGGGAUUAGCUAGUAGGUGGGGUAACGGCUCACCUAGGCGACGAUCCCUAGCUGGUCUGAGAGGAUGACCAGCCACACUGGAACUGAGACACGGUCCAGACUCCUACGGGAGGCAGCAGUGGGGAAUAUUGCACAAUGGGCGCAAGCCUGAUGCAGCCAUGCCGCGUGUAUGAAGAAGGCCUUCGGGUUGUAAAGUACUUUCAGCGGGGAGGAAGGGAGUAAAGUUAAUACCUUUGCUCAUUGACGUUACCCGCAGAAGAAGCACCGGCUAACUCCGUG
rnacentral:rRNA from 1 species